UACGGAGGGGGCUAGCGUUGUUCGGAAUUACUGGGCGUAAAGCGCGUGUAGGCGGCUUGGCAAGUCGGAUGUGAAAGCCCACGGCUCAACCGUGGAAGCGCACCCGAAACGGCCUCGCUCGAGUCUCGGAGAGGAAGGUGGAAUGCUUGGUGUAGAGGUGAAAUUCGUAGAUAUCAAGCAGAACACCUGCGGCGAAGGCGGCCUUCUGGACGAUGACUGACGCUGAGACGCGAAAGCGUGGGGAGCAAACAGG
rnacentral:rRNA from 1 species